AGUGAACGCUGGCGGCAGGCCUAACACAUGCAAGUCGAGCGGCAGCGCGGGGGCAACCCUGGCGGCGAGCGGCGGACGGGUGAGGAAUUCGUCGGAAUCUGCCUUUUUGUGGGGGAUAACGUAGGGAAACUUACGCUAAUACCGCAUACGUCCUACGGGAGAAAGUGGGGGACCGCAAGGCCUCACGCAGAAAGAUGAGCCGACGACCGAUUAGCUAGUUGGUGGGGUAAAGGCCCACCAAGGCGACGAUCGGUAGCUGGUCUGAGAGGAUGAUCAGUCACACUGGGACUGAGACACGGCCCAGACUCCUACGGGAGGCAGCAGUGGGGAAUAUUGGACAAUGGGCGCAAGCCUGAUCCAGCCAUGCCGCGUGUGUGAAGAAGGCCUUCGGGUUGUAAAGCACUUUUGUCCGGAAAGAAAUCCCUGGAGCUAAUACCUUCGGGGGAUGACGGUACCGGAAGAAUAAGCACCGGCUAACUUCGUG
rnacentral:rRNA from 1 species